UAUUUUUACCUUUAUUCCCGUUUUGCUUUGCCUGUAUCAGUUUAAUGAAAGGAAAAAGUUGAAAACAGGUUAAUGGCAAACUAAAAGUGUUUUAGAAUUAUGAACAUAUAAUAGUACGGUAGUAGUGUAUUAUUUUUACUGUAUGAUGUUUUACGUGUUUUCACUUUUCACUUACCCACCCAGUACAGCGCAUAAUUUAUUGUUUUUUUUUCGAUCCAUUGUUAUCAAUUUGGUGCAUCCUAUUUCAAGCCAAUAAUAGACCUGCAGAGAGUCAGAUAGACUCUUUAUUUUAUGUUUUUAUAGUUUUUAUAGCAUUU